GCGUAACUCAACAGGUAAGUCAGCUUCCCACCGGCCCACCGAUGCAGCACAAAUUUUAUGAUUAUCAUUUGUAAUUAAGAGAGGACACAUGUAUAACUAGUAUAAAUACUCCCAAUAUAACCAUGACAAACCAAAGCGGCAUAGUUUUGUUUUCUUUACCAUCACUUGCUUGCCUCAAAUAUUCAUCUAUCCUUUUUCCUCAAUAUAAAUUUGGAUCCAUAAUGAUAUAUCAACACUCACAAAUGGAGACUAAUCAAGAAAGAGAGAUUGAGUAUAGUCGUGCUAGCAAAAUGAAUGCAUAUAUUCAUAGCCAAAUUAUGAGAAUUAGAGCAGAAGAUUCACAGCUUGGGGAAGAUAUAGCUAAGAAGCUUAGGGAGAGAGUUGUUGAUCAGGAUGUUGCUUCUGUUUUUAUGUUGUCUUCUAGGCCUAUGUUGCCUGCUUCACCACUUGGUGGAAAAACGCCAAUCAAGUCUGCUACCUAGGAAGAUUUAAUCUAUGCUUGGGAAUAGGGCCAUACACCGCCUACAGGAAAAAGGGAUGACGUAAAUAGAGAUGGAGAUGAAGUUACUAUCUUAUCACUUCCGUUAAUGUAUAUUUUGAUGUACAGUAUAAUACGUAGGAAGAAAAUAGACGGAAUCUCCAACUUCCACUAUGUAUAUUAAAAUAUUGAAAUACCAAAAACGUAGUUGAUAAGCAAAGUUAAGAGAAUAGUGUAGUGAUUACUUACCCGUCAAUGUACAAAAAGUUAAUGAACACGUACGUUAGUAUGGUGAAUAUAUCAACAUCAAUGUAUUUGGAAAGAA